rnacentral:lncRNA from 1 species
AUUGCAAUUCAGAGUCUGCAACCAUGGCAUACCACAUGCAAAUCCUGGAGCAGCAAAAGGAGGAGAACCUCUUUCAUAGAGGAGAAGAGGAAGUUGGGAGGGCUAUUGCGAACAAAGAGUUUGUUGAACAAGGUGCAGUGGCUUUUCAUUGGCUGAGUUUCUUGCCGGUCAAGAAGAGGAAGUCUUUCUGCUUCCUGUUGGGUUCUGCUUUGCUAUGAUGUGGAGCACCAGAGUUCCCCUUUCUGGCCUCCUGACUCUGUUUAAUGAGGUUUCUGUUUAUUAAUUGUCACAGGUGUAUCCAGGUGUCCAUCCAGAUAUGGCCUGAUUUAAGGGGGCAGUUUGCCUUUCUGAGGCCCUCCAGGUCCAGGGAGACACCUUAGGCCCUGAUAAAGGCCACCCUUUACCGAGGACUCAAUAGGCCCACCUGAUUUCCUCACAUUUUUUUUUAAGAUCCGCCCUGAGCUAACAUCUAUUGCCAGUCUUCCUCUUCUUUUCUUUUUCUUUUUUUUCCUUUCCCCCAAAGACCCCGUACAUAGUUGUAUAUCCCAGUUGUAAGUUGUUCUAGCUCUGCUACGUGUGAUGCCACCUCUGUGUGGCCUGAUGAGCGGUGUGCAGGUCCUCGCCCAGGAUCUGAACCUGUGAACCCUUGGCCACUGAAGUGGAGCAUGUGAACUUAACCACUCGGCCACGGGGCCAGCCCCCUCCUCACACUUCUUUACCAUCUCCAUUUACUUGGGUCAUCCCACUUACCCCUCACCAGUCUUAGAAAGUAAAUCCUAUUAUUAGCUCCAGUUUACAGAUGAGGAAACUGGGACAGGAAAGGGCUAAAGUCAAGUAGGAAGUGGUGAGAGGAUCUGACCCAUGUGCACUCUGGAUGGUGCAGUCAACUGUUUCACACAGCAAUCAGGACUGCUGGUCAACAGGCAUCAACUGCUGGGAUCGUCAGUCAUUGCUGGCGAGCUUCUGUUCUGUUUCACUGUGAAGAUACAGAGGCUUACAACAGUCGAGAGACUCUGCUCAGGCCUGGCUCUACCUCUGCCACAGCGGCUACUAGAGAUGGCCUCAUGCAGACGUGGCACCCCAUGCCACCCCUGGCAUGUGCCUGAUGGAAAUCUACACUUGACUUUUCGGUUGGGCUCCCAGCAAAUAGACCAUGAUGUAGAGAUUUGUGGCAGGAAGUUGACUGAGGACUGCUCCUGGGAUCAACACUCACAAGGGAGGCAGGCAGGAUUGGGCAGAGGGAGAAACUGAGCUGUGAGGCAGUUACUCCUGAGGCCUCAGCAGUUCCAUGGAGAGCUGUGGAGCUGAGAGGUAGCUGCAGAAAUGUCCAAGUUGAGGUGAGGCUGGAGUGGAGGGGUUGGGUCUUUCUGCCCCAGCGUCUGGCGUGGGAUUCCCGAGAACUGUGGGUGAGGCAGCUCCUUUCCCCCAGGGCAGUCCCUGCAGAAGUCCUCAGCGGCAGGCUGUCUACAGAGAAGAAUAUUGUC